GAUGAACGCUGGCGGCGUGCCUAAUACAUGCAAGUCGAGCGAACGGACGAGAAGCUUGCUUCUCUGAUGUUAGCGGCGGACGGGUGAGUAACACGUGGAUAACCUACCUAUAAGACUGGGAUAACUUCGGGAAACCGGAGCUAAUACCGGAUAAUAUUUUGAACCGCAUGGUUCAAAAGUGAAAGACGGUCUUGCUGUCACUUAUAGAUGGAUCCGCGCUGCAUUAGCUAGUUGGUAAGGUAACGGCUUACCAAGGCAACGAUGCAUAGCCGACCUGAGAGGGUGAUCGGCCACACUGGAACUGAGACACGGUCCAGACUCCUACGGGAGGCAGCAGUAGGGAAUCUUCCGCAAUGGGCGAAAGCCUGACGGAGCAACGCCGCGUGAGUGAUGAAGGUCUUCGGAUCGUAAAACUCUGUUAUUAGGGAAGAACAUAUGUGUAAGUAACUGUGCACAUCUUGACGGUACCUAAUCAGAAAGCCACGGCUAACUACGUGCCAGCAGCCGCGGUAAUACGUAGGUGGCAAGCGUUAUCCGGAAUUAUUGGGCGUAAAGCGCGCGUAGGCGGUUUUUUAAGUCUGAUGUGAAAGCCCACGGCUCAACCGUGGAGGGUCAUUGGAAACUGGAAAACUUGAGUGCAGAAGAGGAAAGUGGAAUUCCAUGUGUAGUGGUGAAAUGCGCAGAGAUAUGGAGGAACACCAGUGGCGAAGGCGACUUUCUGGUCUGUAACUGACGCUGAUGUGCGAAAGCGUGGGGAUCAAACAGGAUUAGAUACCCUGGUAGUCCACGCCGUAAACGAUGAGUGCUAAGUGUUAGGGGGUUUCCGCCCCUUAGUGCUGCAGCUAACGCAUUAAGCACUCCGCCUGGGGAGUACGACCGCAAGGUUGAAACUCAAAGGAAUUGACGGGGACCCGCACAAGCGGUGGAGCAUGUGGUUUAAUUCGAAGCAACGCGAAGAACCUUACCAAAUCUUGACAUCCUUUGACAACUCUAGAGAUAGAGCCUUCCCCUUCGGGGGACAAAGUGACAGGUGGUGCAUGGUUGUCGUCAGCUCGUGUCGUGAGAUGUUGGGUUAAGUCCCGCAACGAGCGCAACCCUUAAGCUUAGUUGCCAUCAUUAAGUUGGGCACUCUAAGUUGACUGCCGGUGACAAACCGGAGGAAGGUGGGGAUGACGUCAAAUCAUCAUGCCCCUUAUGAUUUGGGCUACACACGUGCUACAAUGGACAAUACAAAGGGCAGCGAAACCGCGAGGUCAAGCAAAUCCCAUAAAGUUGUUCUCAGUUCGGAUUGUAGUCUGCAACUCGACUACAUGAAGCUGGAAUCGCUAGUAAUCGUAGAUCAGCAUGCUACGGUGAAUACGUUCCCGGGUCU
rnacentral:rRNA from 1 species